rnacentral:snRNA from 1 species
AUGCUCCCUUUGGCAGUAUAUGUACUAAAAUUGGAACAAUACAGAGAUUAGCAAGGCUCCCGUGCUUUGGCUGAGGCCCUUAUGAAGCAUUCCAUACGAAA